UUCCCUCUAAAGGAAAAUUCUAGAUAUCUUAGACUCUCCCCAAAGCUCACGGGUAUAAAUAACCCGUUAUCCACUUUCCCUCACUUGUCCCCAACAGUCUUUCUACUCUUUGUCAUCACUCUCCCACUCAAAUAGCCUACUUAUCCCUCUACUUAUAUGGUUCCCAGCACACUACUGCCUAAAUUUUCCUUGAAUUUCAAC
rnacentral:lncRNA from 1 species